UACCAGCACCCCGAGUGGUCGGGACGUUUAUUGGGCCUAAAGCAUCCGUAGCCGGUUCUCCAAGUCUUCCGUUAAAUCCAACUGCUUAACAGGUGGGCUGCGGAAGAUACUAUAGAGCUAGGAGGCGGGAGAGGCAAGCGGUACUCGAUGGGUAGGGGUAAAAUCCGUUGAUCCAUUGAAGACCACCAGUGGCGAAGGCGGCUUGCCAGAACGCGCUCGACGGUGAGGGAUGAAAGCUGGGGGAGCAAACCGG
rnacentral:rRNA from 1 species